GCGGAUGUAAUUCAGUGGUAGAAUACGAGCUUCCCAAGCUCGGUACGAGGGUUCGAUCCCCUUCAUCCGCUCCA
rnacentral:tRNA from 3 species